GCCGAGAUAGCUCAGCUGGGAGAGCAGCAGACUGAAGUCGGCGAUGUUACAUCCAAGACGCUUUCUGAAGGUCGGGCGUUCGAUCCGCCCUCUUGGCA